ACGCCAGACUCCUACGGGAGGCAGCAGUGAGGAAUAUUGGUCAAUGGGCGGAAGCCUGAACCAGCCAAGUCGCGUGAGGGAAUAAGGCCCUACGGGUCGUAAACCUCUUUUGCCGGGGAGCAAGGGCGGGGACGUGCCCCGGCCCGGAGAGUACCCGGAGAAAAAGCAUCGGCUAACUCCGUGCCAGCAGCCGCGGUAAUACGGAGGAUGCGAGCGUUAUCCGGAUUUAUUGGGUUUAAAGGGUGCGUAGGCUGUGAGGUAAGUCAGCGGUGAAAUGCCCCCGCUCAACGGGGUGAAGUGCCAUUGAUACUGCCUUGCUGGAAUGCGGAUGCCGUGGGAGGAAUGUGUGGUGUAGCGGUGAAAUGCAUAGAUAUCACGCAGAACUCCGAUUGCGAAGGCAGCAUACCGGCGCCCAACUGACGCUGGAGCACGAAAGCGUGGGUAUCGAACAGGAUUAGAUACCCUUGUA
rnacentral:rRNA from 1 species